GUCAACAGACAUAUCACCCUGAACGUGCCCAAUCUAGCCUGACCUUGGAAGCUAAGCAGGGUGGGCCCAGUUAGUAUUUGGAUGGGAGAUAUCGAAUAGGAACCACAAAAUUAUUUACA
ensembl:rRNA 5S_rRNA 5S ribosomal RNA